GAUGAACGCUGGCGGCGUGCUUAAUACAUGCAAGUCGAACGAAGCACCUUGGACAGAAUCCUUCGGGAGGAAGACCAUUGUGACUGAGUGGCGGACGGGUGAGUAACGCGUGGGUAACCUGCCUUGUACAGGGGGAUAACAGUUGGAAACGACUGCUAAUACCGCAUAAGCGCACAGUACCGCAUGGUACGGUGUGAAAAACUCCGGUGGUACAAGAUGGACCCGCGUCUGAUUAGCUGGUUGGUGAGGUAACGGCCCACCAAGGCGACGAUCAGUAGCCGACUUGAGAGAGUGAUCGGCCACAUUGGGACUGAGACACGACCCAAACUCCUACGGGAGGCAGCAGUAGGGAAUAUUGCACAAUGGGGGAAACCCUGAUGCAGCGACGCCGCGUGAAGGAAGAAGUAUUUCGGUAUGUAAACUUCUAUCAGCAAGGAAGAAAAUGACGGUACUUGACUAAGAAGCCCCGGCUAAAUACGUGCCAGCCGCCGCCGUAACAC
rnacentral:rRNA from 1 species